UACGUAGGGCGCAAGCGUUGUCCGGAAUUAUUGGGCGUAAAGAGCUCGUAGGCGGUUUGUCGCGUCUGCUGUGAAAGCCCGGGGCUCAACCUCCGGCCUGCAGUGGGUACGGGCAGACUAGAGUGCGGUAGGGGAGAUUGGAAUUCCUGGUGUAGCGGUGGAAUGCGCAGAUAUCAGGAGGAACACCAAUGGCGAAGGCAGAUCUCUGGGCCGUAACUGACGCUGAGGAGCGAAAGCGUGGGGAGCAAACAGG
rnacentral:rRNA from 1 species